UACGUAGGUCCCGAGCGUUGUCCGGAUUUAUUGGGCGUAAAGCGAGCGCAGGUGGUUUAUUAAGUCUGGUGUAAAAGGCAGUGGCUCAACCAUUGUAUGCAUUGGAAACUGGGAGACUUGAGUGCAGAAGAGGAGAGUGGAACUCCAUGUGUAGCGGUGAAAUGCGUAGAUAUAUGGGAGAACACCAGUGGCGAAAGCGGCUCUCUGGUCUGUAACUGACGUUGAGGCUCGAAAGCGUGGGGAGCAAACAGG
rnacentral:rRNA from 1 species